rnacentral:lncRNA from 10 species
AGAAAUUGCCCUCUUGGGCUUAUAAACAAGGAGCUCCUGCCUGCCUGGAUGAAGAGGAGGUCAAGACUUUGUCCCCCACUCCGCAAGAUACCCUCUCUGUUCCGGAGCGCUGCUGUGUUGUGAGCCACCUUAUGGAAAACCCAUGUGGCAGAGAACCGAGGGUGGUGGCUGGCCAACAGCAAGCCAGGAGCUGAGGCCCACAGUCCAACAACUGGUGAGGAACCACAUGCUGCCAGCAGCCAUGUGAGGGAACUUAGAAGCAAAUCCUUCCCCAGUUGAGCCUUCAGAUGACACCAGAGCCUUGGCUGACCCCUUACUUUUACCCUUGUAAGAGACUUUGAGCCAGAAGACUUGGCUAAACCACACCUGGAUUCCUG